rnacentral:rRNA from 1 species
AUGCACGCUGGCGGCGUGCCUAAUACAUGCAAGUCGCGCGAACGGACGAGAAGCUUGCUUCUCUGAUGUUAGCGGCGGACGGGUGAGUAACACGUGGAUAACCUACCUAUAAGACUGGGAUAACUUCGGGAAACCGUAGCUAAUACCGGAUAAUAUUUUGAACCGCAUGGUUCAAAAGUGAAAGACGGUCUUGCUGUCAUUUAUAGAUGGAUCCGCGCUGCAUUAGCUAGUUGGUAAGGUAACGGCUUACCAAGGCAACGAUGCAUAGCCGACCUGAGAGGGUGAUCGGCCACACUGGAACUGAGACGCGGUCAAGACUCCUAAGGGAGGCAGCAGUAGGGAAUCUUCCGCAAUGGGCGAAAGCCUGACGGAGCAACGCCGCGUGAGUGGUGAAGGUCUUCGGAUCGUAAAACUCUGUUAUUAGGGAAGAACAGAUGUGUAAGUAACUGUGCACAUCUUGACGGUACCUAAUCAGAAAGCCACGGCUAACUACGUG